UUUUUUUUUUUUUUUUUUUUUUUUUUGUCCAUUUGUCUGUUUGUUUCGGAGUCGGAGUCAUUUAUUUACAUUACAUUCAUGCCUUCGUGCAACUUUCCACUCCUGCUUUGCCGUCAGGAGGAGGCCAACACCAGUCCUCUGCUCCCCUCAUUUUCCCGGCCUCUUGAAAAGGGGUCGGUCCACAAGGGAAGAGGGCAAAAAAGCAAAUCAAACCCCACCAUAAUUGAACAAAAGCCCAACAAAACCAGGAGCCGUGUUUCGCCCUGCCGGAGCCGAGGGAAGCUGUUCCUCGUCUGUCUGUCGCUGCUCCGGCCGCGCACGGGCGGGGGAUGCGCGCACCGCGGCGGGCUGCGCAGCGCUGCAGGGAUGCGCUCCGGCGCUGGGCUCCCCCCGCCGCCCACUGGGCCUCGGCGUUUGCUAUGGGGGUCGUGAGGAAGGGCGUGCGUGUGUCUGUGUGUUUCUCUUCUGACAAAAGGUAGAGGCGGAGGUGCAGAGCUGUCCCCGGCCGGCGCAUGGAGGGCCGGUCCCGGGUGGCGGCCGCCCCCGCCCCGCCCGCCGCCUUAGUCCGACAGGGAGUGGGAGCCGCAGUCGUACACCCUGUGGGCCCCGUCGGCGCUGUAGGGCCCGUUGUGCCAGUAGGAAGAGUCGCAGACCGUCUGCAAGGAGUUGAUUUCAGAUGCAGAGGAGUUGGCGUCCCUCCUCUUGGACCGUUUUCUGUUCCUCAGGAUGAAAACCAGCAUGCCAACCACUGUGAAGGCAGAGGUCACAAAAACCAGCAGAAGCCCUGGCACUAGCACCGAAAUAGAGACCCGGCUGGUCUCCAAGUAGGAGUUGGAGUGAGUACCUGUCUCUGUCAAACCGGUGCUGUUUUUGUUAGUAGAAGUUAAUGUGGGAGAGAUUUUUAACUGAGGGCAAAUCACAUCAUUGGAGAGAGACUCGAAAUCCUCCUUGAAGAAGUCUUCAGGGGACUCACACCUCAGGUCACUCAUAAUCACCUUAGGGCGCAGCAUCUCUGCCCACUGUUUGAAAGGCACGAUAGGGCACGUACAGUCCCAUGGGUUGCCGUGCAGGUCGAUCUGGGUGAUGGAGGUGAGCUGGUCCAACACCCCCGCCACCGGGAGGUACAUGAAAUAAUUGUUGUGUAUGCUCAGCUUGGAAAGUGAGACCCCGGCGAACACGUCUACUGGGAGAGACCUCAGCAGGUUGUUGUUGAGGAUGAGGACUCUCAGUUUGGGCAUCGCAUUGAAAGUGCCAGGCAUGAUCAUCUGGAUCCCAUUAAACUCCACAUUCAGAUACUCCAGGUUUUGCAGCCCAGCAAAUUUCUCCCGGGACAGGGUGUCUAGGUAAUUGCUAUCCAUGUAGAGCCAUCGGAGAUCAAAGAGGUUCUUGAAGGUGUUGUUCUCAACGGUGGCAAUGUUGUUGUUGCCCAGAUCGAGUAAAUUAAGUUUUCGGUAAUCCAGAAAGUGGGAUUUCCUGAUGGUGUGUAUUUUGUUGUCUCUCAGAAACAGCUCUUGCACAUUGGAGGGCUUGGGCUUCAAAUCCACCAAGCUGCUCACAUUCCUAUCAUUGCAAUUAACCUUUAAACCCGAGCCAGGGAUCUGGUCACAGCUGCAGAUGUGCGGGCAGGAAAAGGUAGAGGGUAGUUUGCUCUUCGCACUCACUGUCGACACGGCAGCAGUGGGUUUGGUCUUGAUUUGCCAGUUGACAGGAAUCUUUGUACCUCCGUUUGGAGCAGAUCCUGGCGUGGCAGGGUCUUCUUUGCCAUGUAUUUUAAAGGGGGUUGGAAUGGGACCAGGAUCGCAGGUUUCUUCUUCGGCAGGGGGAGCAGCUAGGCUGGAGUCUACUCUGUUCUUUUUACACAGCUCCUGCUCUGUGGUCUCAUUUAAAUCUUUGCCCUGCAACCUAGUGGGAGCUUCACAAAUCACUCUGCCGAUCAAAGCGUUUUUAGGUAUGUUUUCCAGCCAUUCUUUUAACGACAGCAGAUCGCAAGUGCAGUCCCAAGGGUUAUCCUCUAGCAGGAUUUCAGCAAUGCCUGGGAUCUGCUCCAGGACCUCCUCGUAAGGCAAGGUUUUAAGACGGUUUCCCCGGAGGUCGAGGUGGGUGAUCGGCACAUACUGAAACACGUUGGGGGGCAAGGUGCUGAUGAGAUUGUCAUUUAAAAUCAGCACCUCUAGCUUGUUUAAGUCCCUAAAUGCUCCCGGGUCAAUAUCCCGCAACAGAUUAAAAUCUGCCUGGAGGUAUUCCAGAUCGUCCAGCCCCAGGAAAGUCUGCUUCCUGAACGAUUUGAUCUUGUUGUUGUUUAUGUGCAAGCGUUUCACCAGCUGCAGACCAAGAAAAGCCCCAGGAACAAUCUCAUGCAAACCGUUGUUUUCCAUGUGCAAACUGACCGCAUUGUAAAAGUUAGCAAACUCAUUAGGGAAAAGUCGAGUCAGGGAGUUGCCAUGCAGGAAUAAAUGGUAAAAUUGGGAACUUGGGGCGGUGAAAUGUUGCAGGCUGGUAAAUCCCUUUUUCUCACAGUCUACGUGCAAAUCCCCUUCUAUCUCGUUGCAGGCACAGAUCUUCUCUUUGCAAACGUCCCCUGUAACGUUUCCAGCAGCAAAACAAAGAGACGUCUCCAGCAACAGAAUCCAAAGCAGCAUUUUUAAACCGAGCAAUUCAUUCCCGAUCUCAUCACAAAGUAACAGCAACCAUCCUCCUCACACGGAAAGCAAUUCCAGUUCAUUCAAUACAUUAAAUGUCCGAACCACCAGCAAAGGGGGAUAUAAAAAAAAUGUGUGUGGGGGAGCAAGGAGGGUCGGCGGAGGGGGGGGGGGAUGCUUUCUUUUCUCCUCUCUCCCCCCCCACGCACAACUGCAACAGCCCAGAUUCCAGUCAGUAAUUAUAUCCACAAACUAUCCAGGCACGUACUGCAAGGCAGGCGAAAAAAAAAAAAAAAAAAGUAGAAGGAAAAAAAAUCCCCCUCCUCGCUCGCCCUCCCUGACGCCGGCCGGGCAGCUAAGCGGAGGUCUGCCGGCCGGGCUGGCUCACCGGCACGGUGCUGCUGGCCCCCGGCCGCCGCUGCAUGUUAGGGAGGCGCGG
rnacentral:lncRNA from 1 species